ensembl:ncRNA Y67D8C.12 ncRNA
AUUUUUGGAUGUUCCUCUAUUUUUUAAAGAUAUUAUGUCCAUUUUAAAAUACUUAUGAUUGGUAUAUCACAAAAAAAGAAACUGAAAAUUUGGAAAAUUUAAUCAUUUUUUUUAGUUUUGCAAAAGAAAAACCGAAAGUCUGACAACAACAUCAAAAGCAUUAGAAAAACAUCUGUAAAAUUAACGUUUAAAACAAAAAUGUGAAAAAUUCAGUCCGUUUUCAAGCUUGUAAAGUUGCCCAAAAUCAAGGCUAAAGUAAACGAAAAAAUCCUCUUAUCCUCGAGGAGUAGUACACGAGCUUCGUAAAUCGACAAGUUGCCAUUACCAGAAGUUCUAUUAUUAGCCCUUAUCUAUUACUUGGUUUACCCCUAUAUACGCAUACCUUUUUUAUUUUAUUUUAUUUUAGAAAAUAGAAAAAUGUGGUCUGAAUUAUCAGAAAAAAUAACACACACACACACACAAACAUACACAAGUAGAAUAUAAUUUCUGCAACACACACAAAAAAACCAAAAAAAAAAAAAAAAA